AUGUAUUAAAAAAGUUAUAUUUAAAAAACUAAAAUAAUUUGCUACUAAACCUUGUUAGUAUAAUUAAUAUAUUUUGAUAAUGUUCUGAAAACUUGCUUUACAUUGGUGCAAUGUAUGUUCUCAUAAAGCAGCGAAUAGCUAGAUAUUUUUUAUUUAUAUGUCUACUCAUUUUGAUAAUGUCCUGAAAGCUUACUUGACAGUGGUGCUAUGCAUAUUCUCAUGUAGUAGUGAAUAGUUAGUUUAUCUUUAUUUGUAUGUCAAUACAUUUGGAUAAUCUUCUUAAAGCUUACUAGACAGUGGUGCUAUGAAUGUUCUCAUAUAGUAGUGAAUCUCUAGUUUUUUUUAUUUUUAUGUCAGUACAUUUGGAUAUGUUUGGAAAGCUUACUUGAUAUUAGUGCAAUGUAUGUUCUCAUUGAGUGCAUAAAAGUGCAAAAACCAGAAAAAUGCCAUGUUAAAAUGAUAUGUAUUAAAAAAGUUAUAUUUAAAAAACUAAAAUAAUUUGCUACUAAACCUUGUAAUAACCAGUAACCAAGAAUACUAAAAGGAUGUUAUUUAUCUAUAAUACUCAACUAGCCAUGCGUCUUAAGUCAUAAAAAGCACUAAACAAAUAACAAGGAUAACCUAAAAAUAAUUAGUUAUAACUUAAUGACCCUCAAUAGCAAUAAGCAAAUCCAUCAAUAAUGUGAAUGUCAAAUAAAUAACCGACGAGACUAAAUAGAAUUCAAUAAUCAUUAAGCUUAAUACACUUUAAUAACUUAAUAAAUAAUAGCAAUAACCCGUCGUUUUAUUUACUAAUGAAUCUUAAAACUCUUUCAAACUUGCAAAAUACUAAAACUAUACAUAAAAGGUGCUAAAAUAUAAAAUGGUUAUAAUAAGUCAUCAUCAUAAGUAAUUAUAAGUCGCCGUGUACUUAAAAACUGCCAUGUUAAAAUGAUAUGUAUUAAAAAAGUUAUAUUUAAAAAACCAAAAUAAUUUGCUACUAAACCUUGUACUAACCAGUAACCAAGAAUACUAAAAGGAUGUUAUUGAUCUAUAAUACUCAAAUAGCCAUGCGUCUUAAGUCAUAAAAAGGACUAAAACAAAUAACUAGGAUAACCUAAAAAUAAUUAGUUAUAACUUAAUGACCCUCAAUAGCAAUAAACAAAUCCAUCAAUAAUGUGAAUGUCAAUAUACAAUAAAUAACCGACGAGAAUAAAUAGAAUUCAAUAAUAAUUAAGCUUUAUACACUUUAAUAUCUUAAUAACUAAUAGCAAUAACCCGUCGUUUUGUUUAUUAAUGAAUCUUAAAACGCUUUCAAACUUGCAAAAUACUAAAACGAUACAUAAAAGGUGCUAAAAUAUACAAUGGUUAUAAUAAGUCAUCAUCAUAAGUAAUUAUAAGUCGCCGUGUACUUAAUACUUUUUAAAAAAUAUCAAUAUAUUUCGAUAAUGUUCUGAAAACUUGCUUUACAUUGGUGCAAUGUAUGUUCUCAUAAAGCAGCGAAUAGCUAGUUAUUUUUUAUUUAUAUGUCUACUCAUUUUGAUAAUGUUCUGAAAGCUUACUUGACAGUGGUGCUAUGCAUAUUCUCAUGUAGUAGUGAAUAGUUAGUUUAUUUUUAUUUGUAUGUCAAUACAUUUGGAUAAUCUUCUUAAAGCUUACUAGACAGUGGUGCUAUGAAUGUUCUCAUAUAGUAGUGAGUCAUCAUCAUAAGUAAUUAUAAGUCGCCGUGUACUUAAAAACUGCCAUGUUAAAAUGAUAUGUAUUAAAAAAGUUAUAUUUAAAAAACUAAAAUAAUUUGCUACUAAACCUUGUUAGUAUAAUUAAUAUAUUUUGAUAAUGUUCUGAAAACUUGCUUUACAUUGGUGCAAUGUAUGUUCUCAUAAAGCAGCGAAUAGCUAGAUAUUUUUUAUUUAUAUGUCUACUCAUUUUGAUAAUGUCCUGAAAGCUUACUUGACAGUGGUGCUAUGCAUAUUCUCAUGUAGUAGUGAAUAGUUAGUUUAUCUUUAUUUGUAUGUCAAUACAUUUGGAUAAUCUUCUUAAAGCUUACUAGACAGUGGUGCUAUGAAUGUUCUCAUAUAGUAGUGAAUCUCUAGUUUUUUUUAUUUUUAUGUCAGUACAUUUGGAUAUGUUUGGAAAGCUUACUUGAUAUUAGUGCAAUGUAUGUUCUCAUUGAGUGCAUAAAAGUGCAAAAACCAGAAAAAUGCCAUGUUAAAAUGAUAUGUAUUAAAAAAGUUAUAUUUAAAAAACUAAAAUAAUUUGCUACUAAACCUUGUAAUAACCAGUAACCAAGAAUACUAAAAGGAUGUUAUUUAUCUAUAAUACUCAACUAGCCAUGCGUCUUAAGUCAUAAAAAGCACUAAACAAAUAACAAGGAUAACCUAAAAAUAAUUAGUUAUAACUUAAUGACCCUCAAUAGCAAUAAGCAAAUCCAUCAAUAAUGUGAAUGUCAAAUAAAUAACCGACGAGACUAAAUAGAAUUCAAUAAUCAUUAAGCUUAAUACACUUUAAUAACUUAAUAAAUAAUAGCAAUAACCCGUCGUUUUAUUUACUAAUGAAUCUUAAAACUCUUUCAAACUUGCAAAAUACUAAAACUAUACAUAAAAGGUGCUAAAAUAUAAAAUGGUUAUAAUAAGUCAUCAUCAUAAGUAAUUAUAAGUCGCCGUGUACUUAAAAACUGCCAUGUUAAAAUGAUAUGUAUUAAAAAAGUUAUAUUUAAAAAACCAAAAUAAUUUGCUACUAAACCUUGUACUAACCAGUAACCAAGAAUACUAAAAGGAUGUUAUUGAUCUAUAAUACUCAAAUAGCCAUGCGUCUUAAGUCAUAAAAAGGACUAAAACAAAUAACUAGGAUAACCUAAAAAUAAUUAGUUAUAACUUAAUGACCCUCAAUAGCAAUAAACAAAUCCAUCAAUAAUGUGAAUGUCAAUAUACAAUAAAUAACCGACGAGAAUAAAUAGAAUUCAAUAAUAAUUAAGCUUUAUACACUUUAAUAUCUUAAUAACUAAUAGCAAUAACCCGUCGUUUUGUUUAUUAAUGAAUCUUAAAACGCUUUCAAACUUGCAAAAUACUAAAACGAUACAUAAAAGGUGCUAAAAUAUACAAUGGUUAUAAUAAGUCAUCAUCAUAAGUAAUUAUAAGUCGCCGUGUACUUAAUACUUUUUAAAAAAUAUCAAGAUAUUUCGAUAAUGUUCUGAAAACUUGCUUUACAUUGGUGCAAUGUAUGUUCUCAUAAAGCAGCGAAUAGCUAGUUAUUUUUUAUUUAUAUGUCUACUCAUUUUGAUAAUGUUCUGAAAGCUUACUUGACAGUGGUGCUAUGCAUAUUCUCAUGUAGUAGUGAAUAGUUAGUUUAUUUUUAUUUGUAUGUCAAUACAUUUGGAUAAUCUUCUUAAAGCUUACUAGACAGUGGUGCUAUGAAUGUUCUCAUAUAGUAGUGAAUCUCUAGUUUUUUUUAUUUUUAUGUCAGUACAUUUGGAUAUGUUUGGAAAGCUUACUUGAUAUUAGUGCAAUGUAUGUUCUCAUUGAGUGCAUAAAAGUGCAAAAACCAGAAAAAUGCCAUGUUAAAAUGAUAUGUAUUAAAAAAGUUAUAUUUAAAAAACUAAAAUAAUUUGCUACUAAACCUUGUAAUAACAAGUAACCAAGAAUACUAAAAGGAUGUUAUUUAUCUAUAAUACUCAACUAGCCAUGCGUCUUAAGUCAUAAAAAGCACUAAACAAAUAACAAGGAUAACCUAAAAAUAAUUAGUUAUAACUUAAUGACCCUCAAUAGCAAUAAACAAAUCCAUCAAUAAUGUGAAUGUCAAAUAAAUAACCGACGAGACUAAAUAGAAUUCAAUAAUCAUUAAGCUUAAUACACUUUAAUAACUUAAUAAAUAAUAGCAAUAACCCGUCGUUUUAUUUACUAAUGAAUCUUAAAACUCUUUCAAACUUGCAAAAUACUAAAACUAUACAUAAAAGGUGCUAAAAUAUAAAAUGGUUAUAAUAAGUCAUCAUCAUAAGUAAUUAUAAGUCGCCGUGUACUUAAAAACUGCCAUGUUAAAAUGAUAUGUAUUAAAAAAGUUAUAUUUAAAAAACCAAAAUAAUUUGCUACUAAACCUUGUACUAACCAGUAACCAAGAAUACUAAAAGGAUGUUAUUGAUCUAUAAUACUCAAAUAGCCAUGCGUCUUAAGUCAUAAAAAGGACUAAAACAAAUAACUAGGAUAACCUAAAAAUAAUUAGUUAUAACUUAAUGACCCUCAAUAGCAAUAAACAAAUCCAUCAAUAAUGUGAAUGUCAAUAUACAAUAAAUAACCGACGAGAAUAAAUAGAAUUCAAUAAUAAUUAAGCUUUAUACACUUUAAUAUCUUAAUAACUAAUAGCAAUAACCCGUCGUUUUGUUUAUUAAUGAAUCUUAAAACGCUUUCAAACUUGCAAAAUACUAAAACGAUACAUAAAAGGUGCUAAAAUAUACAAUGGUUAUAAUAAGUCAUCAUCAUAAGUAAUUAUAAGUCGCCGUGUACUUAAUACUUUUUAAAAAAUAUCAAUAUAUUUCGAUAAUGUUCUGAAAACUUGCUUUACAUUGGUGCAA